GACGAACGCUGGCGGCGUGCCUAAUACAUGCAAGUCGAACGCAGUGGGGACGGGUGAGUAAAACGUGGGUAACCUCCCAUCAGAGGGGAUAACACUUGGAUACAGGUGCUAAACCGAUACUGAUGGAUGGACCCGUGGUGACUUAUCUAGUUGGUGAGGUAACGGCGCACCAAGGCCACGAUGCCUAGCGGACCGUCGAGGGUGUUCGGCCACACUGGGACUGAGACACGGCCCAGACUCCUACGGGAGGCAGCAGUAGGGAAUCUUGGGCAAUGGGCGAAAGUCUGACCGAGCAACGCCGCGUGAGUGAAGAAGGUUUUCGGGUCGUAAAGCUCUUUUGUAAGAGAAGCGGUAUCUAACCAGAAAGCCACGGCUAACUACGUGCCAGCAGCCGCGGUAAUAC
rnacentral:rRNA from 1 species